GCAAAAAGCAGGCAGCAUUCACAGGAAGGUCAUCUGCAUCUUUAUACUCCAUUGGGCCUUUGUGACUCAUCUCUUCUCCAUCUGACUUUGGGGCACAAUGACUCCAAGUCUGUAUUUCUUCCCUUCAUGCUUUCAGAUUUCUUGAUGAGUAGUAUGAGGUGCAAUAUGAAGAGAUAUACCAGAAAUGAUGUGGAGGUAGAGGAGUACCUUGGGAAAUUAAACCUGAUCUCAUCUCACUUAAGUCUACAGAACUGAUACAAAAACUUAAUUGACUGUGAGAUCAGAUACUAAAUCAAUAUUCAUCUUUUUGUACAUAGGAGCACUUUUUCUGCAGUUCAUGAAGUUUUACUGACCUAUCCUUCUUAAGCAAAAUAUGGUUAAUAAUAUUCAGACCUUCACAAAUAAUUAGAGUGAGAGCUGUUCAAAGUCAUGAAUGACAGAAGUACUUGCUGUUUAAGCUGGCACCAUCACCUUCCUUUAAAACACACCAGAGAAUCACAAACUACCAUUACAUUUUCGUUUUCAUGACGAGCAAAGAGUCCUUGUUAAGAGGAAUACAACCAUCAGGAAAGCAAACUGUAUUAUCUGAAGGACAGUCAUGGCUCAGAAGAGAGAAAACGAUGCUACAGUACAAUUCAGAAUAGAUUUUACUGCGACAGAGUGACCAGGAGUUGAAAAAGAUACCUUCUGGAACGGAGGAAGACCCUUGUCUCCUGCCUUUUAUUGCAUAACUCCCUACUGAAAAUUCAAA